UUUCCUACGGGGGGCAGCAGUGGGGGAUAUUGGACAAUGGGGGGAACCCUGAUCCAGCGACGCCGCGUGAGUGAAGAAGUAUUUCGGUAUGUAAAGCUCUGUCAGCAGGGAAGAAAAUGACGGUACCUGAGUAAGAAGCUCCGGCUAAAUACGUGCCAGCAGCCGCGGUAAUACGUAUGGAGCAAGCGUUAUCCGGAUUUACUGGGUGUAAAGGGAGCGCAGGCGGUCUGGCAAGUCUGAUGUGAAAUACCGGGGCUCAACUUC
rnacentral:rRNA from 1 species